AAAAAUCAUGGAAUCGCUUCCAUUCCUCUCACUCAUAUCCCACAUCCUGUAGGCUCUACUCUCAAAAUACAAAUCUGCUGUUAGACCAAGCCACUGUCACCUGCUUGCAGAGAUGGCAGCAGCCACCUGGUCUCCCUCAAUUUCACUCUUGCACCUUGACAGUCUCUUCACCACACAGCUGCAGGAAGGAUCUUUAUAAAACAUUUAUCAGCUGGUAUGCCCCUACCCAAACCAUCCAACGGCUCCAUAUGUCACUUAGAAUAAAAACCAAACUCCUCACCACAGCCUCAGGGCCUCAUGGGCUGUGUCCCCUGCCUGCCUCUGUGACCUCCUCUCUGACCACAUGGCAGCCUCAUUCUGCCCCAGCCACACUGACCUCCUUCCUGUUCCUCUAGCAUGCCAGGCACACCCCACCCUGGAGCCUUUGUCCGUGGUGUUCCCUGGACCUGGAAAGACCAUGCCCCCUCCCUCAGCGGUCUUCAAACUUCUCCAGUUCACCUUGAUUUCUUCAAAUGGAGACCACCACAUCCUUGUUUUGUUUUUGUUCUGUUUUGUUUUGUCUUGUUUUGUGGGAGGAAGUUCCUUACCACUAAGACCAAAGACCAGAGUUUGAUUUUAUAUAAAUAAACUAUUCUGACAGGCUCCAGGAACAGUGGCUCCUCUGCGGAAGGACCCCUCUCCACUCCCCUCUGAAGGAAGCUCAGAGCUUUGCUAUCUCCAAGUUAACGUCUCCGCUGCUCUCCCAGUAUCUCCCGGGUGUAGACCUCCUGACUGCCAAUUCCAGGUUGCACAGUCUCAGAAUCAGGCAUCAUUAGCUUGUCCGACACCAUUCUUAAAGAACGGCUGGAAUAUGCCUUUCACUAAAGGAGAACUGAGGCAAGAGGAGUGAGGAAGAGAACAGGUUCACAGCCAGAGCAGCUUCUGGAGGCUCUGAAGGGGCACUGACAUCUCUUGGAUAUUACGAGGACUUGGGGCCAGUCCAUGAGCACGCAUGGGACCUAGUGGGACACCCUGGAUGUUUUCUCAGACCUCAGCCUCCUUUGCAGACCACAGCAGACAUAAUUUCCCUCCCAUGCUCCAGAAUCAGGUGUGCUUUAGGUUGACUGCAGAAACCUCCUACC
rnacentral:lncRNA from 1 species